CGCGGACAAUGUGGAACGGUGUGAAAUGUGUUACUGUGGCUGGUUUGCCCAAGCCUGGCUCUCUCGGUGGUUCCGUUAGCACAGUGGCGACAUAAGGUUGGUGACCCUAAAUUGCUCGUAGGCGUGAAAACGAGAGGGAAUGGCUGGCUGCCAACCUGUCCAGGGCGUACCCCGCCUCUCACCUAAUGUCAGACCCUAUGGACCCUACCUUAAACUCCAUACCUCCAGACUGCAACACAGCUAAAACCCAAACUGAGAUGACUUUAAUAACAUUAUCAGUUAUUUGUUUAAAGUCGAAGGAUAUUUGAGACACUGCCCCAACGACACAUGCUUAAAUAAAAUCUAGAGGAGUAAUAUUUUUCCCCAGUGUAAUCUGAACCUCGCAGUUUAGACAGAAUAAAACUACAAGCAAAAUAGUUUAUCACACAGUGCAUCAUUUUCAUUGCCCUUAAACCAGAAAUGUGCAGUUUCUUAUUCAUCCCCUGAAGCUUUUAUGAUUCAGAGGCUUGGGUCAUGUUGGGCAGUCUUUGAACCAAUGCUUUUGUUGCCCAAAGAAUUCACAUUUCUGGGCUUGUGCCCAAAUCUAAUCCCUAAUACUGGAAUUCUAGUAUUAGUGAAGUGGGUAAGUGCUCUGGCACCUUCUAACACCGCUCUAUGUCUGCCAAGUCAUGGAACCACAACCUGGCAAAGCAGUCUCAACAAUUUUCAUUUUGCUCAGUGGGCCUCAAUUGGCAUUUAUUUGAAAGUCAUUCCAACAAGCUGUACUUAACAAUAGAUGACUGACAGUUCUCUCCUUCACUCCAACAUCAACAAAUUGCAAAUACACCAUGUAAACACAUAAUCUGAAAUAAAGAGGAGUUUACCACUAGAUUUAAUUACAUUUUGCAUGACUCAUGAUUGAACUAUGAUUAGAGUUAAGGUGGUGC